rnacentral:lncRNA from 10 species
CCAAUAGCACCUUCCCCAAUUGCACCACAUCCCUUACACUAAAAACCCCAAUAGCACCUUCCCCAAUUGCACCACAUCCCUUACACAAAAAGCAAAAACUUCUGAUCAAAAUGUUGUAGAGCCUGAAAGGUCAAAAGAAGGAUCUCAAAGACUCCACCACCAAACAAUGAAGCAAUCACUGUAGCCUUGUGCCCCCAGCCCAGAGCCUCACAUUCAGAGAAGUAAGUAUUAAUACCUUCAAGGAAGAACCAAAACACCCUUCUUUCUGUAAGCCCCAUGAGAAGCUCAUCCAGGCUGGUCCUGGGCAAAGCUGGAAGGGAGAGAACCUAAAGAUCUGGCCCAUCUGUCCUUCACUGCCGGCUUCCCUGCAGUCCUUUUCCAGAAACCACACCCCACAUUCUCAGCCUAUCAACAGCGUCCUGGUGACCAGGUACAUUCUCAUUCUAUCAUGAGAUUGCUGAAAACUAAAGAAGGCAUCAAGACCCCCACAUGAAUUUCUACUGAUACAAUUUCAGACCUGUGCAGGAAAAUAUUUAAGACAGAAAACGCUUUCUCGAGAGGGUGCCUUCAAAGUUCCCGGAGCUCUUGUCCCUCAGCUGACUCUCACAAACCUGAAACCAAGUGACCCGGCAGCUGCGGGCUCCUCCAUUGACUCAGGCUUCAUCAGAGAGCACCAUAAGUGCCGUAUCUCCUGCUUCAGACCACCUGAGGACCAUUCUACCUGUAUUAUUCAUCUGCUAGGGCUGCCAUAACAGAAUAUCACAAUCCUAGCACAUAAAAUAUGGAAGAGGUCCUCCACAAUGGAGAAAACUAUUGGGGAUAUGCCUUCUGGAGUUUGAUCAAGGAAGAUGGACACAAACAGAAAAGAAAAACAGUCCAGAGGAAGCUGAAGGGUCUCCUACAUUGCACCAGAUGCUGCAGAUGGGGAGGACCAUUCCACUGGAUGCAUUCGGGACUGUAAACAGCAGACUGUGAGUGCGGCAGGCAGGGAUCACCCAGGCUUGACAACUCAACAGAGUUGUUCACUUUGAGGGAAGCUAGUUGCCUUGCCAUGAAGACACUCAAGCAACCACACAGAUAGGUUGAUGGCAAGAUGGAAGAAGCUGAGGCCUCCAGCCAAUAGCCAUAUGAAUGAGCCAGCUUGAGCCAAAGAUGCACUGUCUUAGAGCGGACCCUAGAGCCCCUGUCAAGCUUUCAGACAAUGAAGCACCGACUGACACUUUGACUGCAACCUCAUGAAAGACCCUGGGCCAAAACCACCCAGCUAAGCUGCCCCCAGAUUCCUGACCCUCAGAACUUAUGAGAUCAUAAAUGUUUGGAGCUUUAACUUUAAACACACAUAUUCACAUACACAAUAACAAAAUUCCUAAGACUAAUUUCUGAGAUAAAGGGCCCAAAACAGCCCCUCAGAGAUUUGUCCUAGCAGGGAGUCUAGUCUGAACACCAAAACAAUGUUUUAUAAUCAUGUUUUGUUGGCUCAUUUUCCAGUGUCAGCAACCCCCAAAAUGGGUUCAAGAAUUAACACACCCUUAGAGCUAGGUUCACUGGUAUGCACCCUGCAGUCCCAGCUACUCAGGAGGCUGAGGCAGAAGGACUGCUUGAGCCUAAGAGUUCUGGGCUGUAGUGUGCAAUGAUCAUGCCUGUGAAUAGCCACUGCACUCCAGCCUGGGCAACAUAGUGAGAUCAUGUCUCAAAAAAAGAAUUAACACAUCCCUCCCUUCCUGCAGCCUUCCUGGAUCUAAUCAGAAGGGGAAUGGCAAGUGCUGGGGCAGUGUGGGUGUGCUUUUUUAACCAUAAACUCAUUGUUAGGUGCUGGCACCUCAUAUCAGAUCAUUCUGAUCCUGAGCUAUUCACCAAGCUUGUAUUUAAGUGCCUUACACCUACAUGCUUUCUACCCAUAAUAAAGACAGCUUCCAUUGAUCUCCAGUCUCUAGGAGCCUCUCAGAGUUUGCAAGGAACCUGGGUUGGCCUCUGUGGUUUGUGAGUAUGACAUUCAUGCUAUUUACACUAUUGGGCCAUUGCCUCUAUCCUACUCUGUUGAGAUUCCUAGGAAUUUACACAAACAGGUGUCAAAGAUGAACCAUGUUUGGCCCCAAAGAAAGCAAGGUAAAUGAAAGAAGAUUCUCAUUAUUCAGACAAGAAACUGAAAUAUCUGACACAACUGGACCCUCUUGCAUGGCAACUAUAAGCGGGAACUGAGUCGCAGCUGCCCCAUUAGGGAGCUAAUCCUCAUCUGUAAAUACUGAAAAAGCAACUAACCUGGAGGGAACAAGGUUCUCAACUUUGUGGAAGCUGAGAUGAUGCCCUUUUCAUGGCUCAUCAUUUUAAUAUUGGCACAUGCCUGGCCCAUAAUAAGCAUUCAAGUAGCACUGACUGACUAACUGAAUGAAUGAAUAAAUGAAUUAAUGCUCAAAUGAAUAAAUAAAUGGUGC